CCUACGGGUGGCAGCAGUGAGGAAUAUUGGUCAAUGGACGGAAGACUGAACCAGCCAAGCCGCGUGAGGGAUGAAGGUUCAGAGUAUUGUAAACCUCUUUUGUCCAGGGACAAAGCUGGAGACGCGUCCUCGGAUGAGAGUACCUGAAGAAUAAGCAUCGGCUAACUCCGUGCCAGCAGCCGCGGUAAUACGGAGGAUGCGAGCGUUAUCCGGAUUUAUUGGGUUUAAAGGGUGCGCAGGCGGGUUGUUAAGUUAGCGGUCAAAGGUCGGGGCUUAACCCGGGGACCCCGUUUAAUACUGUCAAUCUAGAGUUGGAGUGAAGUAUGCGGAAUGUGCGGUGUAGCGGUGAAAUGCAUAGAGAUCGCGCAGAACUCCGAUUGCGAAGGCAGCAUGCC
rnacentral:rRNA from 1 species